GAAAUGCGAUAAGUAAUGUGAAUUACAGAAUUCAGUGAAUCAUCGAAUCUUUGAACGCACCCUGCGCUCCUUGGUAUUCCUUGGAGCAUGCCUGUUUGAGUAUCAUGAAAUCUUCAAAGUAAAUCUUUUGUUAACUCAAUUGGUUUCUACUUUGGUAUUGGAGGUCUUUGCAGCUUCACACCUGCUCCUCUUUGUUCAUUAGCUGGAUCUCAGUGUUAUGCUUGGUUCCACUCGGCGUGAUAAGUUAUCUAUCGCUGAGGACACUGUAAAAGGUGGCCAAGGUAAAUGCAGAUGAACCGCUUCUAAUAGUCCAUUGACUUGGACAAUACUUUUAUGAUCUGAUCUCAAAUCAGGUAGGACUACCCGCUGAACUUAAGC
rnacentral:misc_RNA from 1 species